UCAGCAAAGUGUUCAAAACUUCUGCAAAGGGCACAAGCAAGGCUCCUGGCUGGUGUUACAACUUCAUCAUUGCCUGAUAGAAGUUUGAGACCUGCGUCUGUGCUACAGAGAGUGGCUAUUUCUCCACAAAACCUCCUAACACCUGACUUACUGUCCGUCAAGCAGACAGGUGCUGGCCUGCAUGUGUGUGACAUUUUGGACCCCCGUGAGCUGGACUUCCUCUCCUCUCUCCCUUGUCUCCAGACGACUUGUCUUCCUGGCUCCUCUGGCAUGUACCUGGUGGUAGGACUCAGAGUACAGGAGCAGGUGUUCAGUAGUUCAGACAACACACAAACAUUUUGAGGAAUGCUCUGAAGCAUUAGGCGAUUCUACCCAUCUGUGGAGCUGCUUCUUUUGUGUGUCUUCAGGACCUUUUUUCUCAAAGAAUGGGAAUAUUCAGACACGUGAGUGUAGCAGAAGAACCACUGAACUGACUGCUUGGUAAACCUGAAAACUGGAGUUUCUUGGACAAACGCUUUGCAGAAUAGGCAGGCAUGAAAAAAUGUAUAUAUCUUUUUAAUUAUUAGAGUCAGAAGAGCACUGGAUAGAUAAUGCUGGGUUUAUAAAGUGGUACACUUAUGAGGGGAAUUAUGAAAUUUUGGAUGCUGGUACAAAUAGUUUCCUCAGCUGCAACUUCACAUGGGGUAAUAUGAAGACACAGGCCUGCCUGAGGACAGUGACGGACAUGUUGGUCUUGUUAGACUUGAUAUAGAAGCGAAAAGCCUCAGGCAAGUCAUAACCUCAAUGGUCAUAAGAAGGUCCAGUGCUGAAACUAAAAAAACUAUAUCAGAAAUAAAAUCCUUACACCUAUUGGAAAUGCUUGCA
rnacentral:lncRNA from 1 species